rnacentral:rRNA from 1 species
GUUUAGGUCGUUCUAUGGAAACACUGUCCCACCCUAAGUCCACUAUUGAGAGCGGCGUGUACUUGUCCCAGAGAGGGUGAAAGGCCCGUGAGGGUGGGAUGCAGACUGGUCAGUGUUUCUCUAGAUAGACCUUGGAGUCGGGUUGUUUGUGAAUGCAGCCCAAAGCGGGUGGUAAACUCCAUCCAAGGCUAAAUACUUGCACGAGUCCGAUAGCGAACAAGUACCGUGAGGGAAAGUUGAAAAGUACUUUGAAGAGAGAGUAAACAGUGCGUGAAACCGCUCAAAGGUAAACGGGUAGAGUUGAACUGCAAGCUCUGAGAAAUCAGCUGGUGAGUUUGGUAUGAUCUUGGUCAUAUGAGUUGUCUUCCGGAGUCCGCGGUUCGCCGUGGGUCUGACCCUUCGGGGUGGAUGCGUUAAGUGCUUAUCAGGUGCUGUGCGCUUCGGUUGUGUCGAACUUGCUCGCCAGUGCACGUUCUCAGAGUGUUCACCACGACCGGCGCGGCCGUCUGUCUGCUGUAGUCAAACCCGGUCUGCUUGGUCCUUGUGGCCUCGUAGGUCGGGGAUGGCAGGUAGCUUGGUGGAGCGUAUCAGCAAUGGUGCCUCUGUCGAGUGUAAUGAGCUGGGUGCGGCAGUACUGUACGGUGCGUCGGAGACGGCGGUUUGGUGUGGGUGCGCGUUGCUUUGUUCAGCAUAGCAGCUUCGAGUCUGGUUGUCGUGUUGCUUGUUACGGCAGGCCCGG